UAAUAAUGGUUUUGGGUAAUGUUUAACCCAAUUAUGUCACGAUUUUAUUUUCACGUGGGAAGCAAUGUACACGUCCACGGAUAGUUGGGACCGACUAUUUUUAUCCUGUGUUCAUUUUUAAGAUAUAUUUUCGGAAACAUAACCUAUCACUGAUCAAGGUGAUUGAUUUCGAGAAAUUGAAAAGGGAUAAUACAAUCUUCCGUCAUACUUCAAUAUGAAUUUACUAAAUGAAAAAGAGCCCCAGGGUCAUUUCUCAUUUUUCCAGUGGUGCUGCUUUGAGAAGUGCUACAUUUUUACCACCACAUUGAUUAUUUUACGUUUUAAAUAUAUAACUAUUAUCUAUACGCGACAUCAGAUCUGGUUCACCCGACGAAGUGGUGGAGGUAAUCAUUCUGUGAGUAAUUGCCAAAAAAUUUUCAAAUUAAUUGUCAUUUUCAUUGAUUGCUUAGACCCGAGUAGUCUUUAAUCUCUCAUCAAUCUUAAUGUAUGCCACCUCGACAAUAGCUGGCGAUUCUCAUGUGAGAUUAGAGCAGGAUUUGCCCUCUAUUCCCAGUCUACAAUAUACUUGGUUUGCAGAUGGUCAGUAGAGAGAUACAAAACCGCCUUGAUUUCCCCAAGCUCUUUCAAAAGUGGAUGGAAUCACCAUCCCGUGUUCUCUGCCGUCUCUCCGUGCCCUUAAUGCAUUAACAUGUAAUACAGGAGAGAAAUAACAUUUUUCAAUCAUGGUGAGACAUUCAAUUACAAUGAGAACACAGCAGCCAUCUGCAAUGAUCUGGCAAUGCACACAGCCCAUGGGCUCCUAUAGGAGACCUCAGAUAACUUUCAGUUAAUUUACACUACAGACUUUAUUAGAAAGGAUUACUGCUUAAUCCUAUUCCCAAUGUCAAGAUUUUAUAAUUAAACCCUGAUCUCUUUACACUUCUGCAGAAAUCUGCGCGGUACUGGGAAGGUUGCUACAUCGCAAAACAAUUUCACACUUGUUACAUUAGUUGAAGGAGGAAUUGAAAAUGUUUAACUAUUAAAUAGUUAUUUAUUGCAAUACCUAAAGAUGAAAUUAUUUUAAAUGAACAUAUCCAACAUGCAGCGAGAAACAAUGGAUUUUAAACUGACUUGGCCGUUUCUGUUCGUGUUGUUGUGUAAAGGGCCCUAAAUAUGUUUUUAAUAAAUCCUUUCCAAAAUAUAUUUUAUGCGGACACUAUAAAUGCGGACACUAUACGUUUGAUUUCAAGCAUUAGUUUUACCAUAUAUCGCAAUACUACGGUAUUGUUAACCUAGGAUGUUUCAUCUACACCACACAAUGUCUUCCUCACUUUGGUUCAGGACGAGCUGCUGAAAAAAGACCCACCCGUUUCCCGAAAGAGGUCACUUAAGGAAUUCUCUACCCCCACGCCGCCUUUUCCAAAUCAUAUCAACAUAUAAUCCUUGUCGUUCGAAACCCUCCUCCCUUGUCUCUCGCGACAGCAGAUGCCCGCUUGUGCUCUAGCGCAAAUAUUCUUUCCAAUUCAAUGCAGCAAUGAAUUGUACGAGUUCUCUCUCCAUCCCCGCGACUCCAGGGUUAGCAACAAUCGUCGCCAAUCUCCGCUGAAAUGUAGUCAGAAAGGAGGUUUAAUCGCAAGUGAAGUGAUGGUAUCAUCGUCUCCCUCCAGCACCAUCUCACUCUCGGAGUUCUGGCUGCUCACUGCUGGAGUCCGAAUGGACUGCCGGCCUUUAACUAGCGCAUCAUCUUCAGAACCUGCCAACACACAUAGGAGAGAACGACGGAAGAAGGGUCUCUACGCGAAACGUCACCCAUUCCUUUUCUCCGGAGAUGCUGUCUGACCCGCUGAGUUACUCCAGCUAUUUGUGUCUAUCUUCGAUUUAAACCAGCAUCUGCAGUUCCUUCCUACACAUGUUCAGAUAUAAUUCAGAGAGCCAAUGAGAAAACGACCCAUCGACCAGUUUGUCAAACAUCCUGCAAAGAUGAUGUUCUGGGGUUGUUACAGCUACUAUAGUGUUGGUCCGUUGUACCCAGUUGCUAGAAUGAUGAGAUCGCCAUAAUAUAUCGAUGUAAUGCAGAGGAGAGUGAUGCCUGGAGAUAGUGAACACUUUCCUUGAUGUAUCUGGGAUAUUCCACAAGAUCUUGCGCUGUGCAGUACAUCAAAGCUCGUGCCCCAAUCUUUCCAGCAUAAGGGGAUACAUGUCUUGGACAUAUAACCUGGUAACUCGCCUGACCUGAAUCCGAUAGAGAAUCUGUGGUCAAGUAUCAAGGAGAGACAGAAAGGUAAGGACUGUACCAUGAGGGAGAAGUUCAUCAAGGCCAUUAUUCAGCUGUGGCAUCAAGAAGAAAAAAUCCUUGGUAACUGUUAGAAUCUGGUCGAUUCCAUGUCAAAUCGUGUGUCAAACACUUGAUGAGGAACUGUGGUGGACAUAUAAUGUACAAGGCAUAAUGGUGCAAUGCAAAUGAAUAAAAGGUAGCCCUGCGAUAUGUACAUUGUUAUAUCUGACUGUAUGCUUUAUUCAAUUAAUUUGAACUAGGAAGUAGAUCCAACAAUUUAUAUCCAAUGGUUUCUGUCCGCUUAAACAUUAUUUUUUUGCAACCAAGUUGGCCACAUGCCACACACCAUUAAUCAUCCCUAGUCUACUAUUGAGCUAAAGUUCAUCUCAGUCAUGCAAUUGGGACAACCAUAAUAGUUGACCUGAAUUCCAUCUGAACCAUUUCACAGUUUAAUGCAGUGUUUUCAAAUGCUUGUGGAUUUUUGGUUGCUGAAAGAAAAGGUCUUAAUUUGAUUUGUUAAGUGCAUAUGGUGUUUCUGCGAAAUGUAGCACAGAUAAAUUACCCAAACCUUUUAGUUUAGACUGACAACACUUUGCAAAACUUGGACAUUUAACAAUCCAUGCUGAUUUAACUUGCCCAACCCAGAGAGUCCCACUUGUCUGCUCCUGGCCCAACUUAUGGCUCCAGGCCUUUCCCAUCCAUGUAUGCAUCUUUUAAAUAUCAGAACUGUAUCCACCUCCACCAUUUCCUCUGGCAGUUGCCCAUCAAAUUCUCCUUAAAUCUUUCCCCUCUCACCUUAAACCGAUGGCCUCUAGUAUUAUACUCCCCUAUCCUAGGGAAACGGCUGUAUUUAUUCACCUUAUCUGUGCCCCUCAUGACUUUAUGUACAUCUAUAAGGUCACUCCUCAACCUUCUACCUCCAGGUAAAACAUACUCAAUUAAUUUAGCCUUCUGUUAUAACUCAAUCACCCCAAAGCUGGCAACAUUCUCGUAACUAUAUUGCAUCCUUUCCAAUGUAAUGACGUGCUUUGUAAAGCAGAGUGUAAAGAACUAUCCACUGUUCUCCAAAUGUGGCCUUACCAACAUCUUGUACUGCAGGUAGACACAAAAUGCUGGAAUAACUCAGCGGGACAGGCAGCGUCUCUGGAGAGAAGGAAUCGGUGACGUUUUGGGUCGAGACCCUUCUUCAGACUGUACUUGUACUGCAAUCUUGUACUGCAGUACAGAUUGCUACCAAUAGAGGGCUGCAUUUUAUAUUGCUGCAUAAUCCAUUUUACAUGUGUAAAAUCUAUCCUCAUGGGAUUUAAUUUUCAGUUCUGAAGAACUGCUAUUGUGCAGUGAUUCAGUUACAAGUCCCAGACGUCAGUAAAUGGUGUCCAACAGCAGGGCCAAACUUGCAGGGAUUCUUUAGCGCCAUGCUGAGGAAACACUCAGAUCCUGGAACCCCACUGAUUUCAAAGGGAGUCAGCGCACUGCCGAGAAUGCUUUGGAGAAGGUUAAUUCAUUAAAAAAAUAUUUAAACAUUAUUUUAGAAAUACUGUGUCAUUUUUUAGAUUUUAAUCAAUUAUUUAUCAAUAUAUUUCCAUGUUAAUGUUUCUUAAAUGUCCAAGGAUUAUAGAGACAACCUAAAAUCAAAAAGAUAGCAGAUGCUGGAAAUGUCAAAUAAAAAUAGAAAAUGCAGGGAAUAUUCAGCAAGUCAGGCUGCAUCUGUGAAAAGUGAAACAAGGCAUGUUUUCGUCUGGGCUCAAUAUUGAAUUCUACCACAUCAGAUAAUCUGCUCACUCUGUCUCAAUUGUCCAUCAGUACCAUUCGCUGUGGGGUUAUUUUUACCUUUAAUUUUUCUUAAUUAUUCUCUAUGGAAGUGGAGGACAUAUCCAAUUUGACCUGCUGGGCAUAUCCCCCUGCUCUGCAUUUUGCAACUCUGAUAUUCUUUUAACAGAGCAUGGAACGGGCUAUAUAGCUAUAAUGUCCUUGUCAAACAUGAUGCCUACUUAUACUAAUCCCUUCUGCCUGCAUGUGCUCCAUAUCCCUCAACCCCCUGGAAAUCUAAAAGCCUCUUAAACACCACUAUCAGAAAUGCUUCCACCACUACCCCAGGCCAGGCAUUCCAGGCACCUACCAGUCUCUGUAACUUGCCCUGUACAUCUGUAAACAUUCUCCCUCUGACCUUAUAACUAUGCCCGCUGGUAUUUGAUUUUUCCACUUAGGAAGAAAAGGUUACCUGCCUUAACUACCUGUUCCAUACACUUGUUCCAACACCACCCUCUGUUUAAAAAAGUUACCCCUCAGGUUCUUAAUAAAUCUUUUCCCCCCUUCCCCUUAAACUUCUGUCCUCUGGUUCCCGAUUCCCCUACUUGGCAAAACACUCUGUGCAUUUAUCCGAUCUAUUCCUCUCACGAUUUUGUGCACCUCCAUAACAUUACUCCUUAUCCUCCUGAGCUCCAAGGAAUAAAGCCCUAAUCUUCUUAACCUCUCCCUAUAGCUCAUGCCCUAUAGUCCUGGCAACAUCCUCGUAAAUCUUCUCCGCACCCGUUCCAGCUUGACAACAUGUUUUCCAUAAGAUGCGGCCUCACCAAUGUCUUAUACAACUGUAACAUGACCUCCCAACUUCCAUAUUCAACACUAUGUGACUGAUGAAGGCCAAAGUGUCGAAAGACCUUAUCUAUCGGUGAUGCCACUUUCAAGGAACUAUGUACCUACACUCCUACGAAGGCAGAGAAAGAGACUCAUGGAUAUAGUCAAUCCUGAAGGACUACCAAAAAAGAUGGACAACUGAAGUUCAGACUUUUUACUUAUGUUACACACAUUUAAAUCCAAAGACAAUUAAAUGGAACUAUAGAAGUAAAGUAUGCAGCAUGACAAACGUAUGCAUUUUAUAUUUGUCUUACAACUUUUUCAACAAAUGAAAAAAAAGGAAAAGUUGAGCUUUUUUAAUUUAUUAUCUUAUUCACUGGGAAGCAGCAGCUGGAACACUAAGUAUACAUGAAGCUUGUUAAACCUGGAAAUUUGUGUUCGGCUUGGCUAAAACUUACAACCUUCACCCAAGUUAGACAUUUGGAAAGUUUAAACGUCACUGCAGAACACAACCCAGGUUGAAAUUUCAAUAUAGACUGAACAAAUACGGCACUUCAAUCUUUUGGAUGAAAUAUUAAUGUGAGAUUCCAUCUAUCCACUUAGAUGGAUGUUAAAGAUUCCACUUGUGAUUCAGUUAUCCUGGCAGCCUAGCCAAAGAUUUAUUCCUCAAUCCAAACCAAUUAAAUAGCCAUUUAUCUCACGAUCACUUGCAGAUCCUGGUGUGUACAGAUAGGUUGUCAUAUCUCCCAAUGUUACAGUGACAUUCCUUCGGUAAACAAUUCAAGGGGACAUAACAAAAUUAUCAAAACUGCCAUGUUUUGCAUAUUGUUGUGCAUCAGAAUAUUGAGGUUUCUACAUGAUGGCAUGUCGGUCACAGUGCUCAGCAACUGCGGCUCUGAGUCCGAGCCCAUCACAGUGGAAAUGGGAGUGAAACAGGGAUGCAUCAUCGCACCCACCCUGUUUGUCGUCUUCAUUGCUGCCAUACUUCACCUCAUUGGUGAAGAGCUGCCACAGGGGAUCCCAAUCGUCUACAGAACUGACGGUGGGCUCUUCAACAUUAAUAGGUUGAAAGCCAAGAGCAAAGUCAGUAACACCGCCAUCAUGGAGCUUCAGUACACAGACGACUGCGCCAUUGCAGCACACUCUGCAGAAGACCUCCAGGGCACCCUGAAUGCCUUUGCCAAGGCAUACGGAGCCAUGGGCCUUGCCUUAAAUAUCAAGAAGACCCAGUCCUACAUCAACCUCCACCCAACCAGCCGUCUACCCAGCCCACUAUAAAAGUGGACGACACCACACUUGAAAACGUUGACCACUUCCCCUACCUUGGCAGCAUUCUUUCCUCAAAAGCUGACAUCGACUCUGAGGUCAACCAUCGCCUGAGUUGUGCCAGUGGAGCCUAUGCCAGACUCAGGAAAAGAGUCUUUGAAGACCAAGACCUAAAGGCUCAAACAAAACUGCUGGUCUACAGAGCCGUUGUCCUCUCCACCCUGUUGUAUGGAGCCGAGUCAUGGACCACCUACAGCAGGUACUUGAGAGCCCUGGAACAAUACCAACAAAGAUCCUUACGAAAGAUUCUGAGUAUCAGCUGGGAGGACAAACGCACCAACGUCUCCCUAAACAGAUCCUGUACUCUCAAUUGAAGGAAGGUCAGCGAGCACCCGGUGGGCCAAAGAAACGCUUCAAGGAGAACAUCAAGAAUAGUCCGAAGAAAUUCCACAUCACAUCGAGCAACUGGGAGCACAUUGCACUGAACAUGCGCUCCUGGAGGAAAUCCGUGCAGGAAGGAGCUGCACUUCAUGAAAUGGAACCAUGCCGUGUCGCAGAGACAAAGCAACAGCACUGUAAUGAGAGGGAAGGGGGCUCGACGACUACCAACCACCAACAUUCUCCACUGCCCACGUUGCACCAAGGUGUGUGGAUCGCAGAUCGGCCUCUACCGACAUCUGCUGACCCACAUGUAGACGACCUUAUGGAGAGGACAGUCAUACUCGUUUCGAGUGACCGCCGAUGAUGACAGGUUUUCCAAAUAAAUUUUCAGUUCCCAAUUAAUCACUCUAGGAUCAUAGGAUAUGAAACUGUUGGAUGCAUAUGAUCUGGCUACUGAUUUAAUCAAUGUAGUGCAUUAAGCUCUGGACCUCAAGAUUCAUUAACCUGUUUUGCAUGACUACCCUUUUCGCUCAUCACAAGCACAGAUCAUGAACCUGAAUCAUCAUAGUAGGAUAGCAUGCGAAGCAUAAGAUAAAAAUGUGUAGAAACUGUAAUUUGCUUGGAAUGAGGAAGCCCUGAGAUAGUUAUGUUUCAUUUUGAUUCUACUUUGAAAUUAUCUCCACUAAAGAUCUAAUCAUUCUUUUCAUACCUAAUCCAUUAUUUGCAUCAACUCUACAUUCGUGUCCCCUGAUCUUGAUAAACAUUACUAUGUAUUUGCCAGCAUGUGCUGAAUAGGGAACCAUACCCUAAGCUGAUGCUCUGUACAGUGCCUCUUUCAGAGAGAUGGAGCUGUCUUUUCCUGCAAUUUGCUUUUGCACAAAACUGCUCUGGAUUUGUAUAGUUGCCCUGGCCUGGAGUACUACUGUAGCAUUACCAUAAGCGUUGUAGCUUCUGCGUUAAGCCUCAGUAUAACAGGCAGAUAUAUUCUUACAUAUUCUGAAAGUGUUCUAGGUUCUAUUCACCUCCUAUGGAUAAACCAUUUCUAACACUGAAGGCCAUUGCACAAACACAUGAUUCUUCACUAUGAUUUUCCUAAACUGUUUUUUUAAUCUUAUUAUAAUCAAGUCAAGAGUGUUUUAUUGUCAUAGAUCCCAGAUAGAACAAUGAAAUUCUUACUUGCAGCAGAACAACAAAAUAUGUAAACAUAGUACACUGUAAACUAUAUGAUAAACGAGAGGAACAAAAGUUCUCUAAUGUGUAUAUAUACACACAUACUCACAAGUACACACACACACACACAUAUAUAUACACAUACACACAUAUUCAAAACAAAACAAUAGUGGUGCAAUAUUAAUAAUAAUAAUAAUAACAAUAGUCUAUUGUAGUUCAGAGCUUAUUUGGGGUUGUAGUGUUUAAUAGCCUGAUGGCUGUAUGGAAGAAGCUGUUCUUGAACCUGGACAUUACAGUUUUCAGGCUCCUGUACCUUCUUCCCGAUGACAGUUGUGAAAUGAGUGUGUGGCCAGGAUGGUGUGGGUCUCUGAUGAUGCUGGCUGCCUUUUUGAGGCAGCGAUUCCAAUAAAUCCCUUCGAUGGUGGGGAGGUCAGAGCCGGUGAUGGACUGGACAGUGUUCACAUCUUUUUGCAGUCUUUACCGCUCUUGGACGUUCAAGUUGCCGAACCAGGCCAUGAUGCAACCAUUCAAUAUGCUCUCUACUGUACACCUGUAGAAUCAGUGGUACAUUGGACUACUGUGUCUAAUCUCCAAAUGCCAGUGUAAUAUAUAACCAAGUAGCUUCACCAAUAUCCUCCAAACCAUCAACGUUUGUAGGUUGGAGGCACAAAAUGAGCAGACACAUGGUAACAUAACCACCUUCAAGUUCCCAACCCACCUACAACCCUGAUUUGGAAUCACACAUUGUAAUUACUUUACUUUGCUUGGAUCAAAAUCCAAACAGUAGCCACUGAACACCUUUGUGGAAGUACUGCAGUUAUAUAAUUUGGCCAUGCCUUCUUCGAUGCUGCCCCAGUAUUGUUACUACUAGGUAUCUGUCCCAGAAUGUGGAAAAUACCCCAGGUUUCCAUGUACACAAAUUGCUCAGUUAUACCCCCCUCCCCCGUCUGUUCUCGAUUGUGGUAGGUGUUGCUCAAAAUGCUGCAUUUGCUCAACAGUAGCCUGCCUAUCAAUGUCCAAUUUGGUUUUUUCCAGGACCAAUUGGCUCCAGACCUCAUCCAUUAAUGUAGCAAAAUUGCAUUCCAGAGAUGAGGUGACAGUGGCUUCUCUUGACAACAAGUUGCAUUUCACUGAGAAACACAACCUUCGCUCUGGGAUUCAAUUCUGGUACAUUCAACAAACUUGGAAAAAAUGCAGCUAAUGAGCAUAAUUGGACAAUCCUCCAUGAUUGGAGUAAUACCUUCCCAAAGAUAAAGUAGGUGUGCUACCGGGAUAUUGCUGCAGGAGUUCCUCAGAGUUGAGUCCUUGGCAUAGCUAUCCAUCAUGCUUUGUGGCAUUCCAAAUGUGUUAAAGGCGAUUGAUUUAGUGCAGAUCUGGCAGUUCAAAACUGAACAUUCAAGAGGCACCAUGGAUUGCAGCAGCAAUAGAAAUGCACACCACCAUAAUCUGUAAUGUUAUGGCACAGCACAUCCCUCACUCUAGAUGCUAACCUAGUGAAGUUGCAACGCAGUAUUACACAAGUGCACUAGGCAUUGCUAAAUGAUCUCAAAACCAAUGGAGUAGAUCAAAGCUCUGCAGUUCAACCACAUCUAACUGGAAAUAGUGAUGGGAAAACAAACAAUUAAUGGGAAGAGGAGAUGCCUAAGGAAUCCUUAUCUUCAACAAUGCAGGCGCCAGUAUGCGAGUGCUAAAAGUUGAACCAUUCACAAUUAUCUUCAGUGAAAAAUUCAAAAUAAAGAAUCCAUCCGUGGUAUUUAGUCAGAAAUCACAGACGUGCACACACCGAGUCUGGAUUCUAUCAGGAACCCGAUUCCAUACCACCACAGCUUGACCCAAACAUCAGCUAAACUGCUGAAUUCCAGAUUUGAAUUGGUUUUAACUUGGCAAAACAAAAGUUGAAGAGAAAGCACUCCUGUGGAUGAAGUCAUAUCUUGUACAAAAGGAUGACUGUUGUGCUUAUUGGAGAUCAAUCUUUUCAGCUCCAGGACAUCACUGUAGGAGCUUCCCAGAAGAGCACCCUGCUUCAUCAAUGGUCUACCUUCUAUCAUGAGGCCAGAAGCAGGGAUGUUCUUUGAUGACUUCAAUUCCAUUUGCAACUCCUCAGCAUAUUAACGAGUCUAUGCCUGUGUGUAGCAAAACCUAAACAACAUUCAGGCAUGUUCUUCUAAGUGCAAGUAAGAAUCAUAUCACAAAGUUGCUGGGCAAUAUCCAUUUCCAAAAUGAGAACAUUUCCUACAGCUACCCUUGAUAUUCAUUGGCAUGGAGGAGGCCCAGACCAGGAAGGUUAGUAAGCAAAUGGAAAAGUGUUAAAAUGGUUAGCAACCGGGGGAUCCAGUGAGCAAUUGUUUGGUGAAACAAUCGCUGAGUCUAUGCUUGGUCCCAUUGAUGUAAAGGAGGCCUCAUCAGGAGCACCAAAUGCAGUAGAUGUGUUUAGAGGAGGUGCACGUGACCCUCAUCUCACCUGGAAGGACUGUUGGGGUCCCUGAAUGGAUGUGUGGGAGGAGGUAUAGGGGCAGAUGUUACAUCUCCUAUAGUUGCAGGGAAAAGGGGUGGUUUGGGUGGGCAGGGAUGAAUGAACCAAGGAGUUGCAGAGGGAGUGGUCAUUGCGGAAAACAAUGAGGAUAGAAAGAUGUGACUAGUGGUGUGAUCACUUUGAAUGCAGAAUGUUGGAGAAUUCUGCAUCGGUUACAGAGGCUAGUUAGUUUGUUUGGUACCCCAUUCAACAUGAUAAAUAUUCAUUCCCUCCGGUGUUGGCACACAAUAGGUGCAGUGCAUAGUGUCCAUGGAAUGAACUGCAGAUAAUUACAUAGGUUAUUCCAAAAGCACCUUCCAAACUUGUAAUCUCUUUACACCAAGAAGGACAAGGGGCUUCAGACUCAUAGCAGCACAAUCCUCUGCCAAUUCUGUUCCAGAGCCGAACAUCAUGGAAAUAUAUGAGCAUUCCUUUAUUGUUACUGCCAAAUAAUUAAAGGCUCACCAUCAUCUACUUCAGGCCAACUAGGGAUGCACAAUAAAUGCUUGCCGUAGAUACUUUGAUCAGAAAAAUCAAUCGGGUAGUGGGGAGUCUCACCAUCUUCUCAAUGAGAAUUAGGGACCGGUAUUAACUGCUGGUCGUGCCAAAGAUGUCCUGAUCCAAUGACUGAAAGGAAAACAACUUUCUAAUGAAGAUUUCUUGAAGCUGAAGUGCUGUUUCUAUUUCCUCGUGUGAUGCCUGACCCACUUAAUAAUAGCAGGUUUCUCUUUUUAUUACAAAAGAACAUUAUUUGUGACAGAUAUACAUUGUUCUAUAUGGUAUAAAUGUGUUUAAAUAUCAUCACACUCUCACCCUUUUAAUUUCACUUCCAAAACUACAAGAACACCAACCCUGUACAAAUAUGGCAAUCAUCCAAUUCUGGACUUUCUUAUGCAAUACGCAAGCUUUUCAGCCCAUUUUUAUGGAAGUGCUGUUAGUGAUCUCCCAAAAGCAAACAUUCUAUCAGGUUGUUCCUCAAUUUAGUUUGGGAACUGCUCUGCUCAAAACCGCAAGAAAUUGCACAGAGUUGAGGAUGUAGCCCAGUCCAUCACAAAAACCAGCCUCCCCCCCUAUAUUCAUACUGCUUCAGAAAAGCAGCCAACAUAAUCAAGGACAUUUUGCACCCCAAUCAUUCCCUCUUCUCCUCUCUCGUCAGGCAGAAGAUACAAAAGCUUGAAAGCACAUCCCACUAGAUUCAGAAAUAGCAUCUUCCCUGCUGUUAUCAAGCUACUGCAUAAUCCUUUUAUAAACCAAGGCCGUAGUCCAGAUCCCACCAAUCCUGCAUACUGAAACUGAAGGUGAUUAGAACAUUUACCAUACUAAAAUAAUCAAAUGGCGACGAGUCAGAGUAUAGGAGGGUGAUCGAUCGACUGACCGAAUGGUGCCAGAACAACAACCUUGCUCUCAAUGUCAGUAAAACUAAGGAACUGAUUGAUGACUUUGGGAAAGAAACGCGAGGAUCCACAAAUCUGUCUUCAUCGAUGGGCCGGUGGUGAAGAGAGUCCAAAUCUUCAAAUUCCUGGGCGUGCAUAUCUUUGAAGAUCUGUCCUGGUCCCAGCACAUUGGUGCAAUCAUAAAGAAAGCCCAUUAAUGCCUCGGUAGUCACAACAAGCUGGAGUAACUCCAGCAACUACUUCCUUAAAAGACUGAGGGGAUUCAGUACGUUGACGAAUACUCUCUUGAUCUUCUACAGGUGCACAGUAGAGAGCAUAUCAACUGGCUGCAUCAUGGCCUGGUGCAGCAAGUCGAAUGCCCAAGAUGAAGAAGAUUGCAAAAAGUUAACUGCCCAGUCCAUUACUUGGUACUGACCUCCACACCAUCAAAGGGAUCUACAAGACUCACUGCCUCAAAAAGGCAGCAUGCAUCAUCAGAGACCCACACCACCCUGGAGACACUCUUACUUCACUCCUGCCACCAGGAAGAAGGUAUAAGAGCCUGAUAGCUGUGACGUGCAGGUUCAGCAGUUUGGUCCCAACAACCAUCAGGCUUUUAAAUAAUACAACCCCAAAAUGAGUUCUGAACUACAGACUUGUCUUUGGUUUUGCAGUAACCUUUUGUUGUUGAUUAUGGUGUUUCAAGUGUGCUAUGUUUACAUAUCUGUUGUGCUGCUGCAAGUAAGAAUUUUAUUGCUCCAUUUUGGGACAUAUGACAAUAAAAUACUCUUGAUUCUCUUAACUCUUGAAAAUGUCCUUAUCUCUCCAUCUCCUUCUUAACGCCGAAUACUGUUCUCAUAAUGUUCUGAAGUUAUAGCAUUUUAACGUGUGAUGUCAGUUCAGUGUCACUCGUCUUUUCUACGUAUAUUCCCCCUCCCCCUCACUACCCCUGUGCUUUGUGUUCCGAAUGCAGACAUUUCCUAUCUAAUAAUAGUUAAUAAUAGUGCAACCAGACAUUAUGAAUGAACUUUGUGUCUGAAGAAGGAUCCUGACCUGAAACGUUACCUAUCCAUGUUCUCCAGGGAUGCUGCCUGACCCACUGAAUUACACCAGCACUUGGCCUUUUCUUGUAAAAUCUGCAGUUCCUUGUGUCCCCAACCAACUUGUCUUUUUUGUUUGCUACCAUAUACAUUCUAUAAAAUAUAUUCUCUUUAUUUCAAUGGCCUCGAUAAAUAUCUUCAAAUAACGAUGCGCAAAUUAAUAGCUUUGUUAUGGCAAAUAACAAGUCUAAUAAAAUAGUUUUCUAUAAUAUAAAAAAUACAAAAAUGUAGCGAAAACAAGGUGCAUUAAAAUACUCAUUGGAUCAGUCAGCAGCUGUAGAGAGAAAAAUAGUGCAUUCCUCAGGUCAAUGCCCUUUUAUCAGAACUGUCAAAAUGUUGGCUUUGAAACAAGGCAAACGGAAAAAAAGAUUAAAUAAAAAAGGGAAGUGUUGUGAGAGAAUAAUAGGCAGGAAAAAAUAAACAAUAAACAGGACAAUGGUGCAAAGCAAAAAUGACGGGACUUGGAAAAAAAAACAAAAGAUAAAUUAAAAAAUGGAAACAGACGAUCAUUAGCUUGAAUUGUUGAAGUCAAUUUUUAACCCUGAAGGCUGUAAUGCGUGCCAAGAAGAAAAAUGAGAUAAUUUCCCUUGAAUUUGUAUUCUUGUAUUGAAACAGUGCAGAAGGCUGAGCACAACACGGUGUGAGUUGUGAUGGGUGGGUAAUGAAAGUGACAGAUGACUGGAGUGUGGGGGCUGGACAGCCAUUUUGCAAAGCAAUUACCCAAUUUGGACUGGUUUCCAUAAUGCAUCAGCAGACUGCAUUGUGAGGGGACAAUAUUAUGUACUGAAUUAAAAAUACUACAUAAGAUAUUGCCUCAUUUGGAAUUAACUUUUGGGACCAAAAUACUACGAUCUAAGGAAGGAAACGUGCCAGUAAUACUUCUCCCACAUUUGCAUAGGAAGGUGCCUUCCUAACUCUUGGAGCACACGUUGGAGCUCUUAAAAACAAGUAUAUUGGUGGUGAUUGAGGACAGGAAAACGGUACCAUGGUAAAAUAAUUACCACAAAAAGCUGAAAAGAAAGGGAAAAUAUGACUGUAGCGACAUCUUAUUGGGUGCUCCCCAAAAAGUUGCAAGAUAACUUGCUAAUGAGAUGGUGACUUGGAAAAAAUGUAAACAAGAGGAGCCCUGCUGUUGUCCUUAAAAAUAAGAGAAAUUGCCCAAAAGGUGGAUAAUAACUUAGAGCUGAGACAAUAUCUUAUUUUCCAUAAUCCACUGAAAUUCUCUAAUUACUCCAUCAAUAUUAUAUGUAACACUGUGUGGAAUACAAUGGAAUAUAUAUUUACAGCUCUUGGGAUGAAAAAGGGAAGAGGUUAGACAAGAAAAAAGUUUGUUUCUGGAUUGCAAGCACUGAGCAUAUUGGUCCCUUGUAGAGUCAUAGUGAUACAGCAUGGAGACAGGCCCUUCGGCCUGACUUGCCCACACCGGCCAACAUGUCCCAGCUACAUUAGUCCCAAUUGCCUGGGUUUGGCCCAUUUCCUUCCAAAUCUGUCUAAUAAAUAUAUCUGUCUACCUGUCUAGCAUUGCAAUAGUCCCUGCCUCAACUACUUCCUCUGGCAGCUCGUUCCAUACACCCAACACCCUUUCUGUAAAAAGGUUAGCCAUCCGAUUCCUAUCAAAUCUUAUCCUCUUUAUCUUAAUCGUAUGUGUUUUGGUCCUCAAUUUUCCUAUUAUGAGCAAGAGACGCUGUGCAUCUACCCAAUCUAUUUCUCUCAUGAUUUUAUACACCACUAUAAGAUCCCACCUCAUCCUCGUGUGCUCCAAGGAAUAGAGUCCCAGCCUACUCAACCACUUAUAGUUCAGACACAUGAGUCCUAGCAACAUCCUCGAAAAUCUUCUCUGUAUCCUUUCCAGCUUGAUAACAUCUUUCCUAUAACAUGGUGCCCAGAACUGAACACAGUACUUUAAAUGCGGCCUCACCAACAUCUUAUAUAACUGCAACAUGACCUCCCAAUGUCUGCGCGCAAUACUCUCUGAUGAAGGCCUACAUGCCAACAGCCUUUUCGACCACCCUAUCUACCUGCGACUCCAUCUUCAAGGAACUAUGUGCCUGCACUCCUAGAUCCCUCUGCUCUACAACACUCCCCAGAGCCCUAUCAUUCGCUGUGCAGGUCCUGCCCAUGUUAGACAUCUCAAAAUUCAACACCUCACAUUUCUCUGUAUUAAAUUCCAUCAACCAUUCCUCAGCCCACCUAGCCAACCAAUCGAGACCCUGCUGCAAUUUUUCACAACCAUCUUCACUAUCUGCAAAACCACCCACUUUUGUAUCAUCAGCAAACUUGCUAAUCUUGCCAUGUACGUUCUCAUCCAAAUCAUCGAUACAGUUGACAAACAGUAACAGGCCCAGCACUGAACCCUGUGGCAGACCACUAGUCACAGGCGUCCAGUCCGAGAAGCAACCUUCCACCAUCACCCUCUGCUUCCUUCCAUGAAGCAAAUUUUCUAUCCAAUCAGCUUUCUCUCCUUGGAUCCCAUGCGAUUUAACCUUCCAGAGCAGUUUACCAUGUGGAACUGUCGAAUGCUUUGCCGAAGUCCAUAAAUACAACAUCUACAGCUCUGCCUUCAUCAACUAUUUUGGUCAUAUCUUCAAAAAACUCAAUCAGAUUUGUGAAACACAACCUCCCAUGAACAAAACCAUGCUGAUUAUUCCUAAUCAGUCCUUGUCCAUUUAAUGCCUGUAUAUCCUAUCCCUCAGAAUACUCUCUAGUAACUUCCCAACCACAGAUGUUAAGCUCACUGACCUGUAGUUCCCAGCAAUUUCCCUGCAGCCCUUCUUGAAUGGAGGCACAACAUUUGCCCCCCUCCAGUCUUCCGGCAACUCUCCUGUAAUGACGACUCGUAAAUUUCAACCAGGGCUCUCGUAAAUUUCCUCUCUAGUUUCCCACAAUGUCCUCGGAUAUAUCUAAUCCGGUCUUGGAAAUGUAUCUACAUUCGUACACGAUAGUACCUUCAGCACCUCUUCAACUGUAACACUGACUGCUCUCAAGACACUUCCAUUAACUGCCCCAAGUUCCUCUGUCCUUCUGUCUUUCUCCUCGGUAAAUACAGAGGAGAAAUACUCAUUGAGGACCUUGUCCAUCUCCUGUGGCUCCACACAGAGUUGACCACUUUGAUUCCUGAGUGGUCCCACUCUCUCUCUAGUUACCCUUUUUUCCCCUAUGUAUUUAUAAAAUCUUUUGGGAUUGUCCUCAAUGCUAUCUGCCGGGGCUAUCUCUUGGCUCUUUUUUUCCCUUCUGAUUUCCUUUUUUAGUUUGCUUCUCAGUUCCAGAAACUCCUCCAAGGAUACACUUGAUCCCACCUGCCUAUACCUGUCCCAUGCCUCCUCCUUAUUCUUGACCAAUGCUUCAAUUUCACUUGUCAGCCAAGCUUCCUUACAUUUGCUUCAUUGUACUUUCUUCUAAACCUUUGGUUUAAUUGACUUCAAAGCUCUAUUAUGCCUUCCAUUAUAUUCCUUGUUGCAUUAGUUACCAUUUUGAGACCCGAUACUAACAAUUAUGAUCUCAAAAUGAUCAACUCAAUAUUUUGUUCAGUCUUUUCUAUUAUCAUCAAUCUUUCAGCACAGCAAUAAUUUAUUAAUUUAUUUAUCUGUUUAUUAAUUAUUUAAAAAUAUUGGUGGCCACCACUGGCCCUAAUCUUUUCAAUGAAAUACCGACAGUACAUUUCUUAAAAACAUUGGGGUGUAAUGUACCUACUUUUUGGCAAUGCUUUGGAAGAGAAUCGCCAGUAAGCUGGUCUGCUUGAAACCAUGCCCUUCUUGACGUCCUUGCCUGCACAAUGCAGACAAGUAUAGAACAAACACCGCAGCGGUAUGAACAUCGAGUUCUCCAAUUUCAGGUAGUCCUUGUUUUCUCCCUCCUUCCCCUCCCCUUCCUAGCUCUCCCACAUCCUACUGUCUCCGCCUCUUCCUUUCUUUUUGCCACCCUCAACAUCAGUCUGAAGGGUCUCGACCCGAAACAUCACCCAUUCCUUCACUCCACAGAUGCUGCCUCACCCGCUGAGUUUCUCCAGCUUUUUGUCUACCUUCGAUUUUUCCAGCAUCUGCAGUUCUUUCUUAAACAGUACAGAACAAACGAUGGAUCUAGUGCCGGCACAUCUGACAUCCCACUCAGUCCAACAUUAGUGGCCACAUGUGGUGCAUCCAGGACCGCGGCUAUAUUUUCUAAAUGUCCAGCAUUUCCCUACCAAUGUGAAUUAAUAUGGAUGAGGCUCAGGUUCGACCAACUGAGAUCUCAUCACUGAUGUAGACUGCCCCUUGGCAGGAGAACCACUGCAGCAGGCCUUGAUCUCCAUUUGACCCACAGUAGCAUAAAAGGUUAGUGUGUCUGUGAGGCUGAGAUGGAAUGCGUGCCCGGUCAAACACAAUAUCACACACAAUUAUCUGUUCUUGCACAGCAUUACCACCAGCAUAACAGAUAUGAUGAUGUUCUAAGCAAACAAACUUAAUACUCAAAUAUGGUCCAUUUUCAAUUGGCCUCCAUCAAUGCUGACAAUGUACUGGAAAUAGAGAUUCCCUCGUAUUUAUGUAAUAUGCUCCAUCGAUGGAUGUGGAAUCUCAGAUACUGGUUGUGCAACAAACAUUGCAGUUAACAAAUCAUCUAAAUACUGCAUCUUUCACAAAGACUUGUUGAGCGACAUUAUUAUCAAUAACAAAGGGUUUAAAAUGGUUAAAUGUGUGAACACAGCAAAUCUUAGAUUUGCUCAGCUAUUCUACGCAAUCACUGGCAACUGCCAACACGAGUAUUUUUUAAUCCAUCCGGCUUUUUUUUUAAAGAACAUAGAUUGUCGCAUCUAAUCAGCACAUAAAUCAAAUGAAAAUAACAUUUUCAGAUUAGAACUAAUGUUUUAACAUCCAGAUGCACCCAAAAAUCAUAGCAUCAGCAAAACACCCUGUAAUAUUAUAAAUACAUAAACAGAAAUAGAUAAAAUAGCUAAUUCAUGCACCAUUGCCUUUUUAUUAACAUAGUUUUACUCAAGCUAUAAGCACCUAGGACACCAAUGUGAUGCUAAAUAGUUCCAGCUUUUUGGACCGAUCAUGUAAAUACUUUAUUGUUUAAUGUUGCCCAGGUGCCUUUCCAUUAAAAUAAAAAUAGAUACAUUCCCAACAGAUUAUAAUUUACAGUAAUUAUUUUUGUGCAGAUAAAAGCAAAUAAAAGCUGGAAUUACUUUCUGGCAUUUAAUAGAAAAACAUCGAUGCAGCCUGACAAUUAAAACAAUUUAUCUUAUAAAGCACCUCUAAGAUGGAGUUUUCCCCAGUAUUCAACAGAGACAAUAUUCAAUCUUUGAAGGGGUUUAUAAGAGGCAGUUUUAAAAUUAGUUCUGAACUCAAGAAGUGAUUAGUUGCAAAUUACAAUGUGUUUGGUUACUUAAUAAAUCUUAACUUAUAUUUAGAUAGCCUUACAUAUCAAAAAGUCAAAAAUUAGAUUGGUGGUGAAAAUCCAAAGGCACUGUGAGGAAUUAAGGUGCACUUGAACGCAGAGAGAAAAAUCUCAAGUUGAAGUGAUUUGAGUAAAGAGCGUUUGGCACAAAGCUUCAGUAGCUAAAACUGACACAUGCGUAAAUAUUGCUCUCAUCCACAUAUUACCUGAACAAUUAUAUGAAACAAGGAAGAAAAAUAUUUUAUUUAUCUAAAUAUAUUCUACUAAUAAGAGCAGUGCACUACAUAAAAGGCCCUUUGGCAGAAGCAGCCAGCUGUGCACUUCACCUAUUUGGUCUUGUUCGAGUCUCUGAGGAUCUCCAGAUUUGGUAUAGUUAUUGCUUUUAGAUCACAUUCUUAUUGACUAGUGUCAGCCUGGUCAUUCAUCUUGAGUACAGAUGUCAUGGGUGCAGUGCUAUCUUGUGACAUAUUGUGAACAUUUUCUUCCAGAAAUACCUCUUUAAGGCAGGGUGCAAUAGGUUAAACUAGUGGACAGAAACUAAAAUACAACUGAUUGUGCUAUUCUAUUUCCUUUGUAAAAGAAAUACUUCGAAGAUGUUAAAAUUAUACUACAGCAAUAAUCAAUUUCCUAAGAAGAUGCCUAUGAGGUUAGAAAAAAAGAUGAAUAGCCAAGCAAUGAUGCUAUCUUUUUCAAAGUUACAAUAAAUUUGACAGUAGAACACUUGUAAAUUAAUGACAUGGUAUCAAAAAGUGCUCCGGUGUUCAAAAUUCAAAAACAUGUUUCUUUUACAAUUGAUCAGUAAGAAUUGCAUUCAGAAAUGAUACCUUCAUGAAAACGGUCGAUGCUAUACGAUCAAUGCACCUCAAUGAGAUAUGUGUGUUAUGAACUAGUAUUUUGAAGCUUUCAUUCAGAGUCACUUUUAUAAGGUAAUUAAUGCUUGUUAAUUAGUUUUCGCUGCAGUUAAAAAUGACCAAGUGCACGAUCAAGUUAAAUAAAUCUGUUUCUAUAGAAGGAGCAAUCAAUGUUAUAGCUCAUUAAAUUACAGCUGCAGUCCAGUGAUCAUUAUAACACCAACCAUGAUUUAGGAAAGGGCUUUGGGGGGGAUAAAGAGGGCAAAACAAAGAAGAUACAUUUUCAUUCCUUUUCCAAAUAAUUGAAGGAAUAGCAUUAGUUGACUUUAAAACACAACGCAUUCCUUUACUUGUGUGCCUUUAUUAUAAUACCUGGUCAUUUUGUCUUACACCAUUUUUCCCAUCAAACAGGACAAAAUCAUAGGUGUCAUUCUGUUUCACGAUAGUUUUCUUUGUCAUUGUUAUUAGUUUGGUUAUUAUUUCGGUUUUCCUGUAGCCAAAAUAGUGAUUUUUCAUUACCCCAGCUAAAAUACAAAUCAAUUUCAAGUAUAUGCAUCCCUGAUUGUACCGUUCUCUUAAAUGGAGGAUUGUCUACAUUUAAAGGGGCAUAAAACUAUAAAAGAGAAUGGCAUCUGAGUCUACAACUUGAUUAAUUUUUAAAAUACUUACCUAAUUAUUCUUUUUUCAUUUUAUGUACUUUAUUGUGUAAUGUGCAGGAUGAUUAUGGAAGUAAAUUCAGGUAGGCAGACCAUUUUUCUGGUGAGAUAACACAGAGCUAUACAACAGAUAAGUGCUUGCGCCUCAAAAUUGGUUAUUUGAUGUGCAAACAAGUGUUGUAGCAUGAUUUAAGUGAUCUAGCAAAUGUAGCUCUGAUUCCGUGUACCCACUGCCAUGAGCAAAAACCAAUUGUCUAUG